UACGUAGGGCGCAAGCGUUGUCCGGAAUUAUUGGGCGUAAAGAGCUCGUAGGCGGCCUGUUACGUCUGCUGUGAAAUCCCGGGGCUUAACCCCGGGCGUGCAGUGGAUACGGGCAGGCUGGAGGCAGGCAGGGGAGAACGGAAUUCCCGGUGGUAGCGGUGAAAUGCGCAGAUAUCGGGAGGAACGACCGGUGGCGAAGGCGGUUCUCUGGGCCUGUACUGACGCUGAGGAGCGAAAGCGUGGGGAGCGAACAGG
rnacentral:rRNA from 1 species